rnacentral:lncRNA from 1 species
CCAUCCAAUCUUUCAAGUUUAACCUUAAAAACAGCCUGAAACCCUUUAACCUUAAUCCAUUUACGACCCUUUCAGCCGCCUCAAUUUCCUCUUUCCCUCUCCUAUCUUUCAAAUCUCAUGAAUGUAAAUCAACAGAACUUGCACAAAUUUGUGCAAGGUUAUGACACCUCUAAUCAAAUCUUCCUCUCAUACUUCACUAUCUGUGAAUUUACGCUGACAUUUUCCCUUUUUGUGUUCUUCAAAUCUGAAUCACAAGAAUCCUGACCGUAGCAACGAGACACUACCUCGUUUUCAUUCUUUCAAAUCCAAACUCAGAAAGUCAUGCGCUUUGUCCCUAGGAUGUAAGGCUUAUAUUUAUUUUGUAUUUCCAUCACUAAAUUCAAACCCUUUACGUAAAACCCUAGACCUAAAGGACGAAACUUUGAUUUGUCUAAUUUCUCCAUUCUUUCUUUCAAAUCGGAGCAUACAUGGUUGAUAUCUUCAGCUUCAUCUUCAUUAUUCUUUUUUUAAAGGUCAAACGCAGUAACCUCCGAAAAUUAACGCUUGACCACUAGCGGAAGACAUCAAUGGUCGACCUUCUCCCUUCUCAAGUAAAAAAAUCCUUAUCUUUUUCCCUCUGUUCUUCUCUGAUUUCACUCAGUUUUCUCAUAUCAUCAACUCCUCGUCAUCGUCCACUAUCAAUUUUCAAUUUUGUUGAACCCUUGAGGCAUUGAAUGUCACUAUAAAAGUAUUCUUCAAUGCUCUCACCUAACAACAAAAGACAAACCACAAAAUCACUUAACAAACAAAGGAAAAAAAUUAGUUUUAGUCUUGAGUAGUAAAAACCAAGCUAUGAUUUUCUAAUUAGUUUCUAAUUUCUUUCUGAUUCUGAUCCUGACACUAGUCGGUGUUUGAGUUCUUGAUUUUUUGUGGCGAAGAAAGAGUCUUUGUUUAUUCAGCUGCCAUAGGAAAGGUCAAAACAGUUCUACCGUUUCUCUUCUGAUUGGCUUCAUUUAAAAAUCAUAAACGUACUUUUAUUUUUCUAUUAAGUAAUUUCAUCCAUAGCAUUUGCUAUUAGACUAUAAUUAUUUGAUUUAGUUCAACACCGCCUUUUAUUGAUUUGUGGUUAGCUAUUAUGUUUUAUCAGUUUUCAUUGAGUAACCAUGAGCUCUAAAUGUCUUCGGUUAUAUUCAGUAUCAAGCAUGCAUAUUAAAUAUUCUAUGUGAUUAAACUACUUGAUAUGCCUUAAUGACUUUUCGCUUUUUUAUAAGCUUCAGGUUUUCUUAUAAUGAUCCAGCAAUGAUCUUUACUCCUGUCAUAUUGUUUCCUGCAUUUUGUUAUUAGGGCAGUUAUCUGAUAAUUCUGACUAGUACAAACAUGAAAGCUCACAGUUUAACUCUUGAUCACUUAGCUAAAAUAUUUUAAGUUAAAGUGUUUAAAUGCUCUCCUUCUUGGUAUAAAUGAUUUUUAACUUUUAAAAAUCCUUUGAAUCAUUAUUAUGAAUACUUUAUAUUCAUGUAUAAUUGUCAGUUGCAUCUCUAAGUAUGAACAUCAAUGGUCAUUCUUCACAUGUUUUUUUUUUUAAGAUCAACCUACCUCAUAUGAAUUCGACUAUAAUUGUUUUUGCUAUAUUUGAAUGUUUAACUAUUUUAAAAGUUUAAUGUAACUCCACCAUGUGUAGCUAUCAAUCUUGGUCUGUAUAGUUGAGUUAAGGUUGCUUAGUGUGAAGUUUUUCUGUUCUUAGACCUUUAAUGAUACUAACAAUCUGACUUUGUAAUGGUUGAGAGUCAUCCUAUCUUGUGAGGUCCUAACUUUGGUUGAAAUCUCUAUAUGUGUAGUUGAAUGAAAUUUUAGCAUGAAUCUUUAUUUAUCCUUUAUGACUUCAUACUUUUGUAAUAUUGUUUUGAAACAACACUUAGUUCCCUCUUUUCCUGUUAAUCUGAAUUGAAUCUAGUCUUACAGAAAUAUCUUGUUGUUAUUGAUUGAGUACCAUAACUUGGUUAUGUCAUUGUAUGAAUCUUUAUUAAGGUUCCAAGUACUAUUAUUAGCCAAUGUAUAUUCCAAUGACAAGAUCUGAUGUUAAACCAAUCUGUGAUCAAUUUAUUAUAGCAAUAGUAUUGUACCCCUAAGCUAUUACAGCUCCAAACUAUGUGCUUUUAGCAGUCUGAGAUGUGUGACUCUAGUUGUUUAGUUAUUCAAUGACAAUAGUAUAAGUGUUCUUGUCUCCAUGUGUGCUUGAAAACUUAACUUUUAGAACUUUUCAAUGUGUAUUUCAUUCACUUAAUAUUGGAAAUACAGUCUUGAAAAAUAAGCUGUUUCUGUGUUAUUUUGUUAAGAAAAGAGCAUGCUUUUGUGGUAAGGGGUGUUAUAGUGACUGGUUCACACUGGAAGAGCCUCACUGGCACUUAAACCUGUAGUGAAAAAUGAAAAGUUAAUGGUUUGGGGUAGCCGAGUUUAACUUUAGGUUGGGAUGCUCUUACCAGCACAAGCAUUGCCUUGGGCCUUGAGACCCUUGAGAACUUUGAAGUGUCGAGAAAGCAAAAGGGUGCAUCGACCUUGAGUGGAAUUAUCUCCUUGGUAGUUAAUUCUUAACACUUAUUAUUCUCUUCAGGUUUAGUGUUUAAUGACAACAAAAGGUGUUUGAUGUAGAUCAUUUACUAUACAUAACCACCACAUUAUUAUAACAUUUUUAGUGCUUAAAUACUAUCAGUUAUCUUUCCUUUAUUCUUUGAUUGCAACUUCCCAUGCAUGAUCAUGUAUAUGAUAUUAUCUUUCUAACAUGUACCAUAAUUUGGACCUACUGAGUUCUUUAAGAACUUAGGCCUAAACCCAAUUUUGUUUUCUCUCAAAAGGUCUAGAGUUAGCUGUUGAUCAUCUCUGUAUUGUUGGGCCCGCCACUUUGAGGCCCAAAAAUUAGAGUCCUUUUUUCCCCUUCGCUCCUUUAUUUACUGUUUUCAUUAUUCUAUACUUUUACUAUGUAAUUAUUCUUUACUGUGUUCCUGUCAUUUUAUCUCGUAUAUUUACAACAGUUAUAUAUUUUAUGGAAAACUUUAUUUUAUUUUUUUAUUCUUAAAAUGACUUAUUCAAGCCAUAAAGACCUAGGAUUAAAAGAAGCAUUAGUUAGUAACUAAUCUCAUAUUUGUAUCAGGACCUAAUUCGAGGACCACGACGGGCACCUGGUACCUUACUCAAUCAAGUACAAGCGUAACUUAUCUUUUUAUAUCAUAUUAUCAUAGAUAACUGAGCCAGAAGGCUGCUGUGAGAUAAGUAGAAUACAACAUAGCUACCGACUUAUACAUAAGGCACACUGGCCUAUAAUACCAAAAGACACACACGUACACUGAACAUAGGCCGAUAAGGCCAUAGAAUCCUUUACGUACAUGACAUCUAUUUACAUGCUUCUAAGAAUACAUAGUUUUCAUAAAAGUUAAGACAGAGUCCCGCCAUACCAAAUAAUACACGUCUAGAUAAUACAAACCAAACAAGUAAC